GAAAUCCUCCAGACAGACCCCCGGCAGUGAGACAGACGUCACUGGCAGAGUCAUUUGAGCUUCAGAGAGGCAAAGAAUAUCCAGGUGAUUCCCCAAGAGCUAUAAAUAUUACAAGGAGCCUUGCUGAAAUGAUCGCAAAGGACCCGCAACCACUCUCUCUGUCGUUGAAGAUGAGGGUUUUAGGAAUUUUGCUUGGUAUUUUUGUUUAGUUAUUUGCACUUUAAUCACUUUAUUUUUUCACAAACAAUUGUGUGCACUUUGUUUAUAAGCGAAGACAGUGUGCGAAAAGGGAAAUUAUUUAAUCUGUUA